ensembl:lncRNA
CUGAGGAUGGAUCAGAAGAAGACUGGAAUGAAAGUGAGGAGGCCAGUGUAGACCUAGACUUGCUCUUCCUGAAGGACAAUGUAAAGACUGACAUAGAUAGAGGAAAAGAAAGGAGAUUGGAAGAGGAGAACAAAUCAAGACAGCUAGAAGUGGAGACACAGAGAGAAAUUAAAACUGUGAGACUGAAAGAAGAGGAGAGCAAGAGGAUAGCCAUGGUGGAAAAACUGAAAGAGGACGAAGGGAGGAAGAGAGGGAUGGAAGCAGAAAUGGAGAGAAAGGAACAGGAGGAGAGGCUGAGAGAAAAGGAAAGGACCAAACUAAGAGAAGAGGAGAGAAAGAAAAAAGAGAUGCAAGAGAAGACAAAGAGAGAGCUGGAGCAGAUAACACAAAGAGAGAGGGAGGAGAAGGGGAAGAAAGCCAAAGUGGCCAAGAAAUUACUUCAGGCACGUGACAGCGAUGACAUUGACAUAGAGAGCUUGAGUGAUGAAGAUAUGUGGAAGGAUAAGGAGCUCCCAAUGGACCAAAAGAAAAGGCAGACAAAAGACGAAAAGGAACAUGCAUGGCUACAGGAAAAACACAACAAAGAGAAGGAGGAUGAGAAUCCUUGUAACAGGGAUUGCAGUGACCCCAAGACUGUGACUAAUUCAAAUAGUUUGUGGAUGCAUAAGGCCAAGAGCCCAAAGCUGUCAGUCAACAAUGCAUGGAAGAUCCAGCAAUUUGAUAAUACAGAGACUGAUAAUGUCAAACAAGGUCAUUCUGAGGAAGGCGACACACUUGUGAUGACACUCAGUAAUGAUGAUAUGAAUACAUGGACCCAGCUAAAGGCAAAAACAGAUGAAGAGGACGCAGAGAGAGAGAAACAGAGGCAGAUGGAUGAAAAGAGGAUGAGAGAGGUGGACAAUGGAGGAAAGAAAAAAGAGAGAAAACAAGGAGAGAUGGUAGCACAGAAAGAAAACAAGCCACCCAAGAUGAGCAGAGACUUAGAAAUCGUCCAAAAGAUACAGGAGGAAAGAAAGAAAAAAGAGAUGGAGAAAGCAGCACAGAAGGAGCAAAAAGAGGACGAGAGGAGAAAGAUAGAGAUUGAGGAGGAGAAAGCAAGAGAGGAGGAGAGAAAAGUGAGAGAAAGGGAGGAGAUGAGAAAGACUGAAGAGGUGAUGAACAGGAGGGGGGAGGCUCUGUCAGGAGACAGCAAUGACAGCGACUGGGCGACUGACUCCGAUGACUUGUGGAUGGAUGAGUUGGAGAGACGGGAAACAGAAAGAAAGAGAGAGGAGAUUGAGAAAGUGAGAGUGGAGACAGAGCAAAAAAGAGAGGAACAGGAAAGAAGGAUGGAGGAGAUGGAGCGAAAAAGAGAGGAAGCAGAAAUUGAAAUACACAAAAAAAGGGAGAGGGAGAAACAUGAAGACCAGAGGCAAAAAGGAAAGGAGAGACAAGAGGGAAGUGAGAAUUCAGGAAAAGAAAAGAAGGAGAAGAUGGAGAAGAAGGAGGAUGAGAAAGUCAAAGAGCCACAGACGAGAGACGAGAGGAACACAGAUAUGAUGCGGGAAAUAGAGGAUGAGACCUCCCAGCUGUGGAAGUCCAUGGGACUAUCCUUUGAAGACACUGAGGAUGGAUCAGAAGAAGACUGGAAUGAAAGUGAGGAGGCCAGUGUAGACCUAGACUUGCUCUUCCUGAAGGACAAUGGAAAUACCGAAAUAGAUAGAGGAAAAGAAAGGAGAUUGGAAGAGGAGAACAAAUCAAGACAGCUAGAAGUGGAGAGACAGAGAGAAGUGAAAACUGUGAGACUGAAAGAAGAGGAGAGCAAGAGGAAAGCCAUGAUGGAAAAACUGAAAGAGGAUGAAGGGAGGAAGAGAGGGAUGGAAGCAGAAAUGGAGAGAAAGGAACAGGAGGAGAGGCUGAGAGAGAAAGAAAGGGCCAAACUAAGAGAAGAGGAGAGAAAGAAAAAAGAGAUGCAAGAGAAGACAAGAAGAGGGCUGGAGCAGAUAACACAAAGAGAGAGGGAGGAGAAGGGGAAGAAAGCCAAAGUGGCCAAGAAAUUAAUCCAGGCAUGUGACAGCGAUGACAUUGACGUAGAGAGCUUGAGUGAUGAAGAUAUGUGGAAGGAUAAGGAGCUCCCAAUGGACCAAAAGAAAAGGCAGACAAAAGACGAAAAGGAACAUGCAUGGCUACAGGAAAAACACAACAAAGAGAAGGAGGAUGAGAAUCCUUGUAACAGGGAUUGCAGUGACUCCAAGACUGUGACUAAUUCAAAUAGUUUGUGGAUGCAUAAGGCCAAGAGCCCAACGCUGUCAGUCAACAAUGCAUGGAAGAUCCAGCAAUUUGAUAACACAGAGACUGAUAAUGUCAAACAAGGUCAUUCUGAGGCAGGCGACACACUUGUGAUGACACUGAGUAAUGAUGAUAUGAAUACAUGGACCCAGCUAAAGGCAAAAACAGAUGAAGAGGACGCAGAGAGAGAGAAACAGAGGCAGAUGGAGGAAAAGAGGAUGAGAGAGUUGGACAAUGGAGGAAAGAAAAAAGAGAGAAAACAAGGAGAGAUGGUAGCACAGAAAGAAAACAAGACACCCAGGAUGAGCAGAGACUUAGAAAUCGUCCAAAAGAUACAGGAGGAAAGAAAGAAAAAAGAGAUGGAGAAAGCAGCACAGAAGGAGCAAAAAGAGGACGAGAGGAGAAAGAUAGAGAUUGAGGAGGAGAAAGCUAGAGAGGAGGAGAUAAAAGUGAUGACGGAGCAGAUGGAGAGAACUAAACCAGAGAUGGUGAGAAAGGAAAAGGAGGAGAGCCUGAGAGAAAAAGAAAGGGCCAAACUAAGAGAAGAGGAUGAGAGGAAAAAGGUAGAGAUUGAGAUGGAGAAAGCCAGAGAGGAGGAGAGAAAAGUGAGAGAAAGAGCGGAGAUGAGAAAGAUUGUAGAGGUGAUGAACAGGAGGUGGGAGGCUCUGCCAGGAGACAGAGAUGACAGCGACGGGGCGACUGACUCCGGUGCCUUGUGGAUGGAUGAGGUGGAGAAGAGGCGUCAAGUGGAGGUCAUAAACCCCCAAAACAAACCUCAGGAAGAGGGGGAGAGAGGACACACCCAGCCUGGAAGUGCCCAAGUAAACGUAGA